UGAAGAGGGAAACAACCCAGACCGCCAGCUAAGGUCCCAAAGUCAUGGUUAAGUGGGAAACGAUGUGGGAAGGCCCAGACAGCCAGGAUGUUGGCUUAGAAGCAGCCAUCAUUUAAAGAAAGCGUAAUAGCUCACUGGUCGAGUCGGCCUGCGCGGAAGAUGUAACGGGGCUAAACCAUGCACCGAAGCUGCGGCAGCGACGCUGAUGCGUUGUUGGGUAGGGGAGCGUUCUGUAAGCCUGUGAAGGUGGCCUGUGAGGGUUGCUGGAGGUAUCAGAAGUGCGAAUGCUGACAUAAGUAACGAUAAAGCGGGUGAAAAGCCCGCUCGCCGGAAGACCAAGGGUUCCUGUCCAACGUUAAUCGGGGCAGGGUGAGUCGACCCCUAAGGCGAGGCCGAAAGGCGUAGUCGAUGGGAAACGGGUUAAUAUUCCCGUACU
rnacentral:rRNA from 1 species